AAUAGCGGAGAAAUUUAGAGAAAAGGGCAGUAGUAAGAGAACGUGUCUCUCUGGUGAGGAGAAAAAGCCUUUCACGCUUCAGAUUCUAUUCAAAGCUCCAGUUCGUGGUAUUCACUGUACUCUCUAUAAAGAGGGGAUGCCAGUGAGGGGCAAAGGUGUUGAGAUAGUGGUCACCAAAGAGAAGGCUGUCAUAACUUUGAAAAGACCGGAAGUGGAAGACAGCGGUGACUAUCAAGUUAAGCUUUCGAGUCCCACUGUGAGGGACAGAUUGAAGUAUCACUUCAAUUUUUACAAAAAGGAUGAGGAAACUGAGAUAGGAUCUAGUCCAUCUCCUAUAGAUGAGUAAGCUUUGAUCUCGUGUAGAAAAG